rnacentral:rRNA from 1 species
AUUGAACGCUGGCGGCAGGCCUAACACAUGCAAGUCGAACGAGUGGCGGACGGGUGAGUAAUGUCUGGGAAACUGCCUGAUGGAGGGGGAUAACUACUGGAAACGGUAGCUAAUAACGCAUACCAUCAGAUGUGCCCAGAUGGGAUUGGCUGGUGGGUGGGGUAACAGCUCACAAGGGCGACGAUCCCUAGCUGGUCUGAGAGGAUGACCAGUCACACUGGAACUGAGAAACGGUCCAGACUCUUACGGGAGGCAGCAGUGGGGAAUAGUGCACAAGUGGCGCAAGCCUGAUGCAGCCAUGCCGCGUGUAUGAAGAGGGCCGUAGGGUUGUAAAGUACUUUCAGCGGGGAGGCGUUACCCGCAGAAGAAGAACCGGCUAACACCGUGCCAGCAGCCGCGGUAAUAC